AUUGAACGCUGGCGGCAGGCCUAACACAUGCAAGUCGAACGAGUGGCGGACGGGUGAGUAAUGUCUGGGAAACUGCCUGAUGGAGGGGGAUAACUACUGGAAACGGUAGCUAAUACCGCAUAACAUAGGAUGUGCCCAGAUGGGAUUAGCUAGUAGGUGGGGUAAAGGCUACCCAAGGCGACGAUCCCUAGCUGGUCUGAGAGGAGAACCAGCCAAAUGGGAACUUAGACACGGUCCAUACUCCUACGUGAUGCAGCAGUGGGGAAUAUUGCACAAUGGGCGCAAGCCUGAUGCAGCCAUGCCGCGUGUAUGAAGAAGGCCUGCGGGUUGUAAAGUACUUUCAGCGGGGAGGCGUUACCCGCAGAAGAAGCACCGGCUAACUCCGUGCCAGCAGCCGCGGUAAUUC
rnacentral:rRNA from 1 species